UACGUAGGGGGGCAAGCGUUGUCCGGAUUUAUUGGGCGUAAAGAGCGUGUAGGCGGCCAGUUAGGUCCGUUGUGAAAACUCGAGGCUCAACCUCGAGACGCCGAUGGAAACCAACUGGCUAGAGUCCGGAAGAGGAGAGUGGAAUUCCCGGUGUAGCGGUGAAAUGCGCAGAUAUCGGGAAGAACACCCGUGGCUAAGGCGGCUCUCUAGUACGGUACUGACGCUGAGACGCGAAAGCGUGGGGAGCAAACAGG
rnacentral:rRNA from 1 species